rnacentral:rRNA from 1 species
UACGUAGGGUGCGAGCGUUAAUCGGAAUUACUGGGCGUAAAGCGAGCGCAGGCGGCUUUGUAAGACAGAUGUGAAAUCCCCGGGCUUAACCUGGGCACUGCAUUUGUGACUGCAAGGCUAGAGUGUGUCAGAGGGAGGUGGAAUUCCACGUGUAGCAGUGAAAUGCGCAGAGAUGUGGAGGAACACCGAUGGCGAAGGCAGCCUCCUGGGAUAACACUGACGCUCAUGCUCGAAAGCGUGGGGAGCAAACAGG